UCGUCUAAACUCAAAGGAAUAGACGGGGGCCCGCACAAGCGGUGGAGCAUGUGGUUUAAUUCGAAGCAACGGGAAGAACCUUACCAGGUCUUGACAUCCUCUGACAAUCCUUUAGAUAGGACGUCCCCUUCGGGGGCAGAGUGACAGGUGGUACAUGGUUGUUGUCAGCUCGUGUAGUGAGAUGUUGGGUUAAGUCCCGCAACGAGCGCAACCCUUGAUGUUAGUUGCCACCAUUCAGUUGGGCACUCUAAGGUGACUGCUGGUGACAAACCGGAGGAAGGUGGGGAUGAUGUCAAAUCAUCAUGCCCCUUAUGACGUGGGCUACCCACGUCUGCAAUGGACAGAACCAAGGGCAGUGAAACCGCGAGGUUAAGCCAAUCCCACAAAUCUGUUAUCAGUUUGGAACGCGGUACACAACUCGAAUGCGAGAAGCUGGAAGCGCUAGUAAUCGUGGAACAACAGUUCCAUCCAAAUC
rnacentral:rRNA from 1 species